GACGAACGCUGGCGGCGUGCUUAACACAUGCAAGUCGAACGGAGUGGCGAAAGGGUGAGUAACACGUGGGUGAUAUGCCUUGCACUUCGGGAUAAGCUUGGGAAACUGGGUCUAAUACCGGAUAGUUCAAGAUGAGCUCGCGGCAUAUCGGAUUGUUGGUGGGGUAAUGGCAUACCAAGGCGGCGACGGGUAGCCGGCCUGAGAGGGUGUAAGGCCACAUUGGGACUGAGGUACGGCCCAGACGCCUACGGGAGGAAGGAGUGGGGAAUAUGGCGCAAUGGUGGGAAGCCUGAUGCAGCGACGCCGGGUGGGGGAGGAAGGCCUUCGGGGUGUGAACUCCGGUCGACAGGGACGCGGUACCUGUAUAAGAAGCACCGGCUAACUACGUGCCAGCAGCCGCGGUAAUUC
rnacentral:rRNA from 1 species